GUAGAUGGCAGCAGAGCACCUCUUGAACUUCAGGAUGGAUCCAGAGUGUUUAAGGCCUUCAGUCCCUCAAUCUUUAAUCUGGUCCCGUUUCCAGAAGGAAAGUUAAGUUUAGUCCUGCUAACGGAGCUGACCGAGUCAGGGAGACUAGAUUACUGCAACUCAAGAUAAAACAAAAAGUCAAGUAGCAACAACUGGAGUACCAGGUGUAAACAUUUUAUUUCAGAUCAUGAAUUUUACAAUGAUUUAAUACUUUGGAAAGUUUCAGUGGCUGUUUUCAUGUAUUCAGUCACUACAGACACAGUUGAUCAUCCAGGUGGUGAAUCUCUGAACAAACUGGGUCACGAUUUGAAGUUACUGAAGUUCCUGUCCUGAGUUCAUGUCAGGCUGAACUGAAACCAUUGCUGUUGGUCUUGUUUGGGGAUGUUUGAGUCCGUUUACACAAGAGGAACCAGACGACCUUCUGGCUGGACGCAGCAGUAGAAAAGCAGAUGGACCGCCGGGACAGGGAGGACGUCUAGAAACACUUUCUGUGGACGAUGGCUGGACCGGACUCAUCGUACUCCUGC